AGCGAACGCUGGCGGCAGGCUUAACACAUGCAAGUCGAGCGGGCGUAGCAAUACGUCAGCGGCAGACGGGUGAGUAACGCGUGGGAACGUACCUUUUGGUUCGGAACAACCCAGGGAAACUUGGGCUAAUACCGGAUAAGCCCUUACGGGGAAAGAUUUAUCGCCGAAAGAUCGGCCCGCGUCUGAUUAGCUAGUUGGUGAGGUAACGGCUCACCAAGGCGACGAUCAGUAGCUGGUCUGAGAGGAUGAUCAGCCACACUGGGACUGAGACACGGCCCAGACUCCUACGGGGGCAGCAGUGGGGAAUAUUGGACAAUGGGCGCAAGCCUGAUCCAGCCAUGCCGCGUGAGUGAUGAAGGCCUUAGGGUUGUAAAGCUCUUUUGUCCGGGACGAUAAUGACGGUACCGGAAGAAUAAGCCCCGGCUAACUUCGUGCCAGCAGCCGCAGUAAG
rnacentral:rRNA from 1 species